UCCUGAAAACUUGCAAUUAUUAUAAAGUCAUUUUAAAACCCUGUGUUACUUAAGUCAUUAUGGAAUAUGUGAUGGUAGAGUAUGAGUUUCUUAUUCUUGAUAUCAUUGUUGCUUGGAGAAUUUAUUUCAAAAUAUUCAAAAUUCUAGCUACCAUCCUCAGUGUUUUAUGCCUGAUAAGACUGGAAAUAUUAAUUAUGAUUAUAAAAGCUAUCUACUCUGUAUUGAGUUUGUUCAAAAUGAGUUAGACCCUUGUUGAGAGAUUUAUCAUGCUCCCAAGAUCAAGACAUUAUUCCAGAAAGAUUCACUCUUCCGAAGUAUUAUUGCAUUAGAGGCAUGGGCUAUGCAAAAAUAAAGAUAUUUCGAGGAAAUAAAAAGGAGCAAGUGCUCGACAACCUCGCAAAAAAAUGGACAAGUGUCCGGCAGUAGAAUUAGGGGUACCUCGGUAUCCACUUAAAAAAAAGAAGAAAAGAGAAAAAAAUGAUAGCCCAUGGUCCCUCUAAUAAGCAAUAUGCCAGCAAGAGUUGACAAAGAUUUUAAUUUCCAAAGUCUUUGAUCUAAGUGUAUGACAUUCCCCUCCUCGGAUCCCGUUUUGAUCAGGCAAUAAAUGCAAAGUAAGUAUGCUUGAGAAUUUUUGCAAAAUUAAAACAAACUCAGUGAGAUAUAUAUAUAAAAGAUAAUGAGUGAUCUGAGAGAACCUAUGAGGAUCAAAAGGUAUGCUAACUCUCUUUCAAAAAUAUACAAAAACUCCAAGUCACAGGAUUGAGAAGAAAGAAUCUUUACUCUUAACCAUAAACAUCCCUGACUAUGGUACACAGUGGAUAUUUAACACCCUGCAAUUAUAAAGAGAAUGUUUUAAAUGUUUACCCCAGAUAUUGUUCUUAACCAUCCUUUUCUCGAGGACGAGUAAAAGCCUAAGUAUGGGGGUAUUUGUUGACGGUUCUUAAGUAUCAAUUUUAAUUGUCAAAUAAACAAGAGAAAGGACCAAUAUGCAACCAACACCUAGAAUUAGGGUUUGAUCUGACAAAAUUCCACGAGUUUUGUUGUUUAUCUGUUUCUGCGGGGGUUAUCAGGAAAUAAGGAAGAAAGGCCCACAUGUCGGGAUUACAUAGAGAUAUCAACGCACCGCACGAUUUUCCACCAUCUAGAAGACUCCAGAAGCCACGGGAAGAAGACGGAGGCCGAAAGGGGCCAUGGCCAGGGCGCCCGCCCCUGGUGACCUGGGCGCCCGCCCCCCUCUGGAUGCCAAUCAGGACUCUCUUCGCUCGGGGUAUUCCACCGACCUAUUGGAUCAAGAAAAACAUAGUACCACCUCGCCUAUCGACCCAAAAACGCAUAGAAGGGGAGGACUAUAUAAGGAGACCCCCCUGGCCCCUGGAGAAGACAUGAAGAAAUUAUCAUAGAGACUGAGGGGUGCCCUCGAAGGAAAACCUCUUCUCUAAUUAAUAUUUCUUUUUAGGCUUAGUAACCAAUGUAAGGUAGAAAUAGAUCUUCUAGUUUCUACUAGAUUGAGAGAGAUAGAGUGGAGGUGUAGAUUGGAGGAAGCCCGGCCUGUCGGUGUCUACUCCAAGCUUGUACC
rnacentral:lncRNA from 1 species